rnacentral:lncRNA from 1 species
AGAUUCUGCAUAUAUUUCCAAGUUAACAUGAACAAGAUUUUCUGAAAGACUGCUAUGGAGUCUGAGAAAAAAUGUCAAAGGUAGUGCCAAAAUUGUCACUUAAAGAACUGCAGGAAUGGAGUUGGCAUUUACAGAAUUUGGAAGAGAAGCAGGUUUAGUGAUAAAGACCAGAAGCACAGAGCUAAGCAUAUUAAAUAUUGAGGACAUGAAGAGGAAAGAACUGACAGAGGAGGUGAAGAAAGGUGAUCAGGAAGAGCCAUCAAAGUGUUAUCCUGGAAUUCAAGUGAAGACAGUGUUUCAAAGUGGAAAUGAACAGUGUCCUGUAACCCUCAGAGUGAGACUAGAGUCAGAAUGCAGGCUUUUCUCAUUUGAAAUCUCAAGGUAAGUCCAGGUCCUUACCUCCACCUAAAAGUUCUGCCAUCAAGGAACAUCUGCUCAUUAUCUUCUGUUCACACAUCAAAUGACUUCAAUGUGAUCCCUGGAUGUUCUCCAAAGAGCUGAAGGGAAAUAAAUAUUCUUUCUUUAUCACCAAAUACUUCAACUGCAGAGUGAUUGUGCUACCAAGGCCUGAAACUUCGGAAAAACCUGCAUAACACAAAAUAUAAAAUAUGCCACAGAGAGGAUCCAGAGAGCCCAUCUCCGGUCAGUUAUCUGUAUUUGUAUGUCAACUACAGCAUCAAAAAGCAUAGGCAUGGAUACUAAGGACCCCCUCUGUACACCAACGCCAGUCCAAAGGACAGUGUGUCACUGUGAACUGGAAAUUCAUCUCUCUUCUUCAAUUUUUUUCUACCUACUUUAUGCUUUAUCUCUAAGUUGAGGCUGUUUAUGGCCUCAUCCUCAAUUACCUUGUCCCUCAUUACUCCCAGUUAAUGGAGAUUAAGCUUUGUAUCAUGACUUCCUAACUAAAAUUGAAAUCACAAGACAUCACAUAAAUAAAGUUACAAAUGGAUUAGAU